rnacentral:rRNA from 1 species
CAGUCGACGGGCUCUUCGGAGCUAGUGGCGGACGGGUGAGUAACGCGCUGAGAAUCUGCCUACAGGACGGGGACAACAGUUGGAAACGACUGCUAAUACCCGAUGUGCCGAGAGGUGAAACAUUUAUGGCCUGUAGAUGAGCUCGCGUCUGAUUAGCUAGUUGGUGGGGUAAGAGCCUACCAAGGCGACGAUCAGUAGCUGGUCUGAGAGGAUGAUCAGCCACACUGGGACUGAGACACGGCCCAGACUCCUACGGGAGGCAGCAGUGGGGAAUUUUCCGCAAUGGGCGCAAGCCUGACGGAGCAACGCCGCGUGGGGGAGGAAGGUUUUUGGACUGUAAACCCCUUUUCUCAGGGAAGAAGAAAGUGACGGUACCUGAGGAAUAAGCCUCGGCUAAUUCCGUGCCAGCAGCCGCGGUAAUACGGGAGAGGCAAGCGUUAUCCGGAAUUAUUGGGCGUAAAGCGUCCGCAGGCGGUUAAUCAAGUCUGUUGUCAAAGCGUGGGGCUCAACCUCAUAAAGGCAAUGGAAACUGAUUGACUAGAGUAUGGUAGGGGUAGCGGGAAUUUCCCGGUGUAGCGGUGAAUGCGUAGAUAUCUGGAAGAACACCAGCGGCGAAAGCGCGCUACUGGGGCCAUAACUGACGCUCAUGGACGAAAGCUAAGGGAGCGAAAGGGAUUAGAUACCCCUGUAGUCCUAGCCGUAAACGAUGAACACUAGGUGUUGCGUGAAUCGACCCGCGCAGUGCCGUAGCCAACGCGUUAAGUGUUCCGCCUGGGGAGUACGCACGCAAGUGUGAAACUCAAAGGAAUUGACGGGGGCCCGCACAAGCGGUGGAGUAUGUGGUUUAAUUCGAUGCAACGCGAAGAACCUUACCAGGGUUUGACAUCCCCCGAAUCUCUUGGAAACGAGAGAGUGCCUUCGGGAGCGGGGAGACAGGUGGUGCAUGGCUGUCGUCAGCUCGUGUCGUGAGAUGUUGGGUUAAGUCCCGCAACGAGCGCAACCCACGUUUUUAGUUGCCAUCAUUCAGUUGGGCACUCUAGAGAAACUGCCGGUGACAAACCGGAGGAAGGUGUGGACGACGUCAAGUCAUCAUGCCCCUUACAUCCUGGGCUACACACGUACUACAAUGCUCCGGACAGCGAGACGCGAAGCCGCGAGGUGAAGCAAAUCUCCCAAACCGGGGCUCAGUUCAGAUUGCAGGCUGCAACUCGCCUGCAUGAAGGCGGAAUCGCUAGUAAUCGCAGGUCAGCAUACUGCGGUGAAUACGUUCCCGGGCCUUGUACACACCGCCCGUCACACCAUGGAAGUUGGCCAUGCCCGAAGUCGUUACCCUAACCGUCGCGGA